rnacentral:tRNA from 1 species
GACCCUGUAGCUCAGUUGGUUAGAGCGCUAGACUGUGGCUCUGGAGGUCGCGGGUUCGAGCCCCGUCAGGGUCCCCA